UUAGUUUCUUAAUUGGGAAAUAGGAUGAAUGGCUUCACUAAAAUAUAGUUUUUAUCCUCAUUUGCGAAAUUUUAAUCUAAGUGAAAAUACUUAGCAGUUGUACUAGGACGAGAAGACCCUAUGAAGCUGGCAAACUAUUAAUACAUAUUCCUAUUAUUUAUUAGUUUAUUUUUUGGGGUAAAAUUUAAUAAUACUAUUAACACAAUUGUACUAAAUUACAUCCUUUAGGAAUUAUGAAGAAGCUCCUCUAGGGAUAACAGCAUUAUGCUUAAAAGAGUUCUUAUCAGAAUAAGCGUUUGUGACCUCGAUGUUGAAUUAAAUGCUCUUUUAUGUGCAGGAGCUUAGAAGAG
rnacentral:rRNA from 1 species